CCGCCUCCCCCUGUGUCAAAGCGGGUGUCAAUGUUUACAACUUCGAUGAGAGGAUGAAGUGGAACUAUCCUUCUGGUCACGAAAAGAGAGAAAAAAACACCAUGAGAGAACGUUUGAGUGGUCUGGCCAUCAUGAGCAUAAAUCAUGACGUGGGGAAACACAUGUCCUAUGAUGACAUCAUUGACGAUUUUGCCUCAAGAAAGUGCAGAAGAUGACUAGUUUGAUGACAUUCCAGAUAGACUGGUGCCCAUACUGAUGCUGAAAAUGCCCAGGCUGUAGAAGGAACUAAAGUAAAUCACACAGCUGUAUAUGUUUUAUUUUAAUAUUUUGAGAUAUACUGUAUAGCUGCAGCCAUAGCCUAUAGGCUUAUGUUUACAUUGUAUAGCCAAUGCUAGUCACACAGCUGUAUAGGUUUAAAAAAAAAAAAACUAUUUUAAGACAUAUAGCUGCAGCCAUUGCUUAUAGGCUUAUGUUUACAUUGUAUAGACAAAGCUAAUUGUAUAAUAUUGUGAUGACUGGACUAAUUACCAGGCAGCAGAGCUGCAGCAGAGCCAAAGCUCAGUGUUAUAUUUUAUUUAUUUUCUACAAUGUCUUAUAUGUUAAUGUUAAUAUUCACUUAUCUUAAGAUUCUAUAGAAAAUAUUAUAUUCAAUAAAUAUUGUUUGUUUAUACCUCAUUCUGUUCUGUAUAGGUCUACUU